UACGAAGGUCCCGAGCGUUAUCCGGAUUUAUUGGGUUUAAAGGGUGUGUAGGCGGGUUAUUAAGUCAGUGGUGAAAGCCUACAGCUUAACUGUAGAAUUGCCAUUGAUACUGAUGAUCUUGAGUAUGAUUGAGGUGGGCGGAAUGUGUCAUGUAGCGGUGAAAUGCUUAGAUAUGACACAGAACACCGAUUGCGAAGGCAGCUCACUAAGUCAUAACUGACGCUGAUGCACGAAAGCGUGGGGAGCAAACAGG
rnacentral:rRNA from 1 species